rnacentral:tRNA from 1 species
GCUCAGUUGGUAAAGCACAAGGCUCUUAACCUUGUGGACGUGGAUUCAAGUCCCAC